rnacentral:rRNA from 1 species
GGGGAAUUUUGGACAAUGGGCGCAAGCCUGAUCCAGCAAUGCCGCGUGCAGGAUGAAGGCCUUCGGGUUGUAAACUGCUUUUGUACGGAACGAAAAGCCUCUCUCUAAUACAGGGGGGUGAUGACGGUACCGUAAGAAUAAGCACCGGCUAACUACGUGCCAGCAGCCGCGGUAAUACGUAGGGUGCAAGCGUUAAUCGGAAUUACUGGGCGUAAAGCGUGCGCAGGCGGUUUUGUAAGACAGGGGUGAAAUCCCACGGCUCAACCGUGGAACUGCCUUUGAUACUGCUUAGCUUGAAUCCGGGAGAGGGUGGCGGAAUUCCAGGUGUAGGAGUGAAAUCCGUAGAUAUCUGGAGGAACAUCAGUGGCGAAGGCGGCCACCUGGACCGGUAUUGACGCUGAGGUGCGAAAGCGUGGGGAGCAAACA